rnacentral:rRNA from 1 species
UACGACGCGAUUGUCCACACCGAUGUUCCAGUUGAUAACAAUAAAUUAUGGAAGCUCAAAACUCCUCUUCGAGUGAAGAUAUUUCUCUGGUUUCUAAGCAGAGGUGUGAUCAUAACUAGAGAUAACCUGUCAUGCCGCAGUUGGAAAUGUAGCAAGACAUGUGUAUUUUGUCAACAUGAUGAGUCUAUUAAACACCUUUUGAGUUUAGGUUUGCUCGUUCACAGUGUGGCCCAUAGUUCAAUAGUUCACGUAGAUUGA